CCAGCAGGCUAUUUUUUACAUACAGUAAUUAUAAUUCUAUAUUCCACAGAACACCUUGCCAUGAAAGCACUUCAAAAGAUGGUAAUUUCUUUUGCAACACAAUUUGCUUCAAUAGUGAUGAACAUAAACUUUAUUCUGGGGCCAUAUUUGUUAUUGGUUUGAGCAGAAGACACUGAAUAGGUUUGGCACUGUAUGAAGAUUUCAUUCAUUUCAAGACAAUGAAUCUAAAUUUUUUGAAGCUGUCACAUAGUUAGAGCAUUGCUGAACUAUGUAUUUCAGGUUUUUACAUGAUAUGUCCAUGCUAUGUAUGAAAAAAGUCCUUGUUUGCCAAAAUAUUUUUGCUGAUACCACACUUUGCCAUUACUGAUCUGGCUGUCUCUGAAAAUGUUUGAAAUCUUUUCUUUUCCAGCAAAUAAAUUAUGAUGCAUUAUGGUGCCACUUGCACUAAAUGCCCAACAGUUUGAGGCCUUUCUAUGUAAAGAGUUUCCAUUUCUUGGAGAACACCCAUCUGAUCUUUGUAGGAUUGACAAGAGCAGAAAGUUGCACGUUUUGACCUGCUCAAUCAAGACACCAUUAGCAAUAAAGGCUCUUGGAGAGCUUGGAAGAUCUGCUCUGUAUAUCAGACCACAGAUGGACAAGGAGAUGACACACUCUGACCCAGAUGAACUGUCAGAGGGAACUGACACUGAGAGUACAUCAUCUGAUCAGUCUUUGGAUUCACAUAACAUGGAAAGCCCAAACAAUUCACCUCUUGCUCUUGCACCUCUAGCUAAACUGAGCCCAACUGAUUUGUCUCUUCCUGAACAAAGCUCGGACAUGUGUUCCUUUCCAGCUGAAAAUAUACCUCCUGUCCAAAACAUGGCACAGUCCCCUACUGGUGCCAAUUCACCUGCUCAACUAAGCCCUACUCAUUCCCCUCUUUCUGAACUAAGUCCAAUCCACUCCCAUCUUAAUGAAGACAGUCCUGUCCAUUCACCUCUUCCUGAAUGAAGCCUGGUCCAUUCUCAACUUAGCGAAAACAGUCCUGUCCAUUCACCUCUUCUUGAGCGAAGCCCGGUCCAUUCCCAAUUUAGCAAAGACAGUCCUGUCCAUUCACGUCUUCCUGAGCAAAGUCCAGUCUAUUCCCAACUUAGCUAAGACAGUCCUGUCCAUUCACCUCUUCCUGAGUGAAGCCCGGUCCAUUCCCAACAUAGCGAAGACAGUCCUGUCCAUUCACCUUUUCCAGAGCGAAGCCUAAUCCAUUCCCAUAUUCGUCAAGAAAGUUCUGACUAUUCAACUCUUCCUGAUUCAAAUUCGCCGACUGACAUUGAUGACAUAAUUUAAAAACUUAAGCGACAAGUAGUAAGACAGCCACCACGUCCAAAUAUCAUACAUGUUUACAGGGAGGACGUAUCAGAUUGCUCAGUAUGGGCCUUUCAGAGGCAGAGGUUCAAUGCAGAGGCCCGUGUUGAUGUAGCAUUUGUUGAUGUUCAAGACAAAGUGAAGGGAUCUGUAGAUGAGGGUGGGCCCAGACAUGAGUUCCUGCGCCUUCUAAUGCAGGAAGUUCAACACUGCAAGAUAUUUGAACGGCCAGAAGGAUCACGGUCAUUAUCGCUUCAUGGUGAUGAUUUGCAAGAAGGACUCUAUAGGACUGUUGGAAAAAUGAUUUUGGUGGCUGUGGUUCAGGGAGGGUUGCCCAUCCAUUUACUCUCUGAGAGGCUAUACUGCCAAAUCAGUGGCCUGCAGCCUCCCAAGUUUACAUUGGAGGAAGUUUCAGAUCACGAAAUCCAGAGUCAGUUGGAGAAAUUCAACACAGCUAGAUCUGUGGAAGAAGCAAGGGCAGCAGUUUCUGCCUUUGCAGACACCUAAGUGUAAUGGGGGCCUUCACUUACAUCAGAAAUUUAGAAGAGCGGGAUAGGGUAAUGCAGAUUGCAUUGCAGUUUUAUCUUCAGGACAGACUUUCACAGGCUCUUUCACAGCUAAAGGAAGGUCUAAUGACUUUGGGGGUCCUAAAUGAGAUUGUAGCUAACCCAGAUAAAUUCCACAGAGUCUUCACAGCAUCCGUUGUGCCUCUAAACUCGACUGACCUAGUGAACCUUUUCAUCCCCAUUUUUCUCGCCGAUUGGAAGUAAUAGGUGAAUGUUUGAGAAUAGAACUCUUGCUUUCUGGAGAGAUUGGCUGUUUGAGGUGGAGGGUAAAUGACUACCACCUGUUAUUAAUUCCUUCUCAUCUGCUUUACCUGCUGUGAGUGGUCCUGAAGAGAAGUGGAGUGUAAGAGGCAAACAGUUCCUUCACUCAGGGAGAGGCUGAGGAUGUUUCUUUCUGUCCACACAAGCUGUCCUUUCUUCUGCACCAGAUGGUUGCUUGCCACUCUAAAGUUGUUUAGUGCAGUGUGUUGUAAGCGUUGUACUGUUAUCUUGGAGUUUUAGUAACUUCAUUAAAGUGUUACUUAUGGUACUACGAGUUAUGUUAUGUGGGAUUAUUCGUAGGGAAGUGAUUGAAUGUUUUCUCCUGUUUCUUGGACUGAAAGGGAGUUAGGGAAGAACAUUGUUUAUUUUGGUUUCUUUUUGUUUACUGCCAUCCCCUUUUUUUUUUUUAGGAAGGUUAACUUUUUGUUAUUUUGGCUCUGUCCCCAUGUAAAUCCCACUGUUUAUGAAAUAAAAGGAAAUUACUUU